rnacentral:rRNA from 1 species
GACAUCCAGAGAACUUUCCAGAGAUGGAUUGGUGCCUUCGGGAACUCUGAGACAGGUGCUGCAUGGCUGUCGUCAGCUCGUGUUGUGAAAUGUUGGGUUAACGUCCGCAACGAGCGCAACCCCUAUCCUUUGUUGCCAGCGAUUCGGUCGGGAACUCAAAGGAGACUGCCGGUGAUAAACCGGAGGAAGGUGGGGAUGACGUCAAGUCAUCAUGGCCCUUACGAGUAGGGCUACACACGUGCUACAAUGGCGUAUACAAAGAGAAGCGACCUCGCGAGAGCAAGCGGACCUCAUAAAGUACGUCGUAGUCCGGAUUGGAGUCUGCAACUCGACUCCAUGAAGUCGGAAUCGCUAGUAAUCGUAGAUCAGAAUGCUACGGUGAAUACGUUCCCGGGCCUUGUACACACCGCCCGUCACACCAUGGGAGUGGGUUGCAAAAGAAGUAGAUAGCUUAACCUUCGGGAGGGCGUUUACCACUUUGUGAUUCAUGACUGGGGUGAAGUCGUAACAAGGUAAGCGUAGCGAG